rnacentral:rRNA from 1 species
GCUGGCGGCAUGCUUAACACAUGCAAGUCGAACGGCAGCGCGGGGAGCUUGCUCCCUGGCGGCGAGUGGCGGACGGGUGAGUAACGCGUGGGAAUCUGCCCAUUAGUGGGGGACAACCCGAGGAAACUCGGGCUAAUACCGCAUACGCCCUACGGGGGAAAGCAGGGGAUCUUCGGACCUUGUGCUAUUGGAUGAGCCCGCGUCGGAUUAGCUUGUUGGUGAGGUAAAAGCUCACCAAGGCGACGAUCCGUAGCUGGUCUGAGAGGACGAUCAGCCACACUGGGACUGAGACACGGCCCAGACUCCUACGGGAGGCAGCAGUGGGGAAUAUUGGACAAUGGGCGAAAGCCUGAUCCAGCAAUGCCGCGUGUGUGAAGAAGGCCCUAGGGUUGUAAAGCACUUUCAGUUGGGAAGAAACGCAGAGGGUUAAUACCCCUCUGUAAUGACGUUACCGACACAAGAAGCACCGGCUAACUCCGUGCCAGCAGCCGCGGUAAUACGGAGGGUGCGAGCGUUAAUCGGAAUUACUGGGCGUAAAGGGCGCGUAGGUGGUUCUGUAAGUCGGGUGUGAAAGCCCCGGGCUUAACCCGGGAAUUGCAUUCGAUACUGCAGAGCUUGA